rnacentral:rRNA from 1 species
GGGCAAUGGGGGAAACCCUGAUCCAGCAAGAUAGUAAGAGUGUAAAGCAAUCUAGCAUAAAACUUCUAAAGAGUAAGGAAAAUAGUGAUUUUACUUCUCUAAUUAAAUCCUGACAAAUUUCGUGCCAGCAGUCGCGGUAAUACGAAAAGGAUAAGCGUAAUUCAUAAUAUCUAGGUGUAAAGGGUCAUAAGGCUGCAUAAAAAAAAAAAAUAUAUAUAAAUUCUUCGUAAUAUAUAUAUAUUUUUUUUAAGGGAUAACUAUUUAGCUAUACAAUAUUGUAUAGCUAAUCCCAAAUUGACUUGAGUGUUAAAAGGGGAAACGGGAAUUAGGGGUGUAAGGAUAGAAUCUUAUGAUAUCUCUAGGAAUACUACAAAGCGAAGGCUGUUUUCUUUGAAUCACUGACGCUAAAAGACUAAAGUGUGGGUAGCGAAAAG